AAAACUGCUCCUUGAAUUAUGAGCUAACAAUUCCUGGAAUUGUCCCAGGUAAGUGGAAUGCUUGUUUAAAGCCAUACACACUACUAACACAUGGAGCUUCAUAAGUAGGAAGUGUUGCAGUAUCAUGCCACUCAAAUUAGGGCAAUGGAAAUUAACUUCAUUUGCUUUACAGCAAUGUUGAACUUGACCCCUUAAUGUAAAUGCAAGCCCCUUAAAAUUCACCUUUCAAGCACAUCUUGCAGCAAACACUUGCAGAAGUUUACUGAAGUCCUCAGAUAGUGUGAGAAUUCAGCAUAAGCCCUCUGCAAGUCAGAGGGAAGCAGAUGGCUCUGCAGACAGCAAACCUCAGGCAAAGGAAAGGAUGGAACAUACCUGGGCUUCUGCCUUACUCAGGUAAAACGGAGAAAGAAGGAGGGAUAAAGCAUGCUGCGUGCUCAGUAGCCUACAUUAAUUCAGGAGUGCUGCUUCUGGCUGCUGCAAAGAUGUGCUGAAUCAGUACAGACUUUUGGAGAAUGGCCAGGUGGCUCCCGGCCCAUUUGAAGAAGGCUGGUGGGUGAUCAGUCACUCUGCUGCUCAUCCCAAACAAAUGCAUGGCUGGUGGGAGAGCACCACCUGCUUUGCUGGCAGAAGCAAGUGAAUCUUCCUGUGUGCAGGCAGACACACUCCACAUCAAGUAUAAAAAAAAAAAUCUCUGGAAACGUUGAUCCUGUAAGUGUGAUAUAUGGAAAUGCCGCUUGCAUUCACCUUAGUUAUGCAAUU
rnacentral:lncRNA from 1 species